CUAUCUGCUGCCCAUCCAGGAGCUACCACCUCUACAUGCAUGGGUGCUCUGCCAAGAAGUCUUCCUGUGACUCCAGUUUGUCAGCACAAGUGAGUGUGAACUAGACUAUGUUGAUAUUGCACCUCUGGGAUCACGCAUUCCAGCCACUCA